GAUGAACGCUGGCGGCGUGCCUAAUACAUGCAAGUCGAGCGAACGGACGAGAAGCUUGCUUCUCUGAUGUUAGCGGCGGACGGGUGAGUAACACGUGGAUAACCUACCUAUAAGACUGGGAUAACUUCAGGAAACCGGAGCUAAUACCGGAUAAUAUUUUGAACCGCAUGGUUCAAAAGUGAAAGACGGUCUUGCUGUCACUUAUAGAUGGAUCCGCUCUGCAUUAGCUAGUUGGUAAGGUAACGGCUUACCAAGGCAACGAUGCAUAGCCGACCUGAGAGGGUGAUCGGCCACACUGGAACUGAGACACGGUCCAGACUCCUACGGGAGGCAGCAGUAGGGAAUCUUCCGCAAUGGGCGAAAGCCUGACGGAGCAACGCCGCGUGAGUGAUGAAGGUCUUCGGAUCGUAAAACUCUGUUAUUAGGGAAGAACAUAUGUGUAAGUAACUGUGCACAUCUUGACGGUACCUAAUCAGAAAGCCACGGCUAACUACGUG
rnacentral:rRNA from 1 species